UACUCUCAACCCUGGACGACUCUAUAACACACACCAAUCGUGUCACGUGCUGCGUUAGACUCCGCACAUGAGUCCCUGGGCCAUCCAAAGAAGUCCAGGGAAGAAUCCUCUGCAGUUCACAGGAGUGACUCAAGGAGGAGGAUGUGAGCUUGGAACUGCCAAAGGCCAUACGCUCAAGAAAGCUGACCGGAAGUCAACAGGGGGUGAGAGUAAACACCCGGAUACAGCUGUACCUACGCCAACACUGAAAUUUUCAGUUGUGUGGAUAAGUCUCUCUCUCUCUCUCUCUUUUUCUUUCUUUCAUUCUUUUUU
rnacentral:lncRNA from 1 species